rnacentral:rRNA from 1 species
GACGAACGCUGGCGGCGUGCCUAAUACAUGCAAGUAGAACGCUGAAGGAGGAGCUUGCUUCUCUGGAUGAGUUGCGAACGGGUGAGUAACGCGUAGGUAACCUGCCUGGUAGCGGGGGAUAACUAUUGGAAACGAUAGCUAAUACCGCAUAAUAUUGACUAUUGCAUGAUAGUCAGUUGAAAGGUGCAACUGCACCACUACCAGAUGGACCUGCGUUGUAUUAGCUAGUUGGUGGGGUAACGGCUCACCAAGGCGACGAUACAUAGCCGACCUGAGAGGGUGAUCGGCCACACUGGGACUGAGACACGGCCCAGACUCCUACGGGAGGCAGCAGUAGGGAAUCUUCGGCAAUGGACGGAAGUCUGACCGAGCAACGCCGCGUGAGUGAAGAAGGUUUUCGGAUCGUAAAGCUCUGUUGUAAGAGAAGAACGAGUGUGAGAGUGGAAAGCUCACACUGUGACGGUAUCUUACCAGAAAGGGACGGCUAACUACGU